GAGGCGGUAUCUUGACUUUGUCAGAGCUGCACUUUCCAAAGGAUGGAUUGAAAACAAUCUCAUACUAACGUAAGUAGUAUGUUGGAUUCUGCUCUGAGCCGAAGGGACCGAGACAGAAGG
rfam:Paenibacillus swuensis strain DY6, complete genome.